rnacentral:rRNA from 1 species
GAUGAACGCUGGCGGCGUGCCUAAUACAUGCAAGUCGAGCGAACAGACGAGGAGCUUGCUCCUCUGACGUUAGCGGCGGACGGGUGAGUAACACGUGGAUAACCUACCUAUAAGACUGGGAUAACUUCGGGAAACCGGAGCUAAUAACGGAUAAUAUAUUGAACCGCAUGGUUCAAUAGUGAAAGACGGUUUUGCUGUCACUUAUAGAUGGAUCCGCGCCGCAUUAGCUAGUUGGUAAGGUAACGGCUUACCAAGGCGACGAUGCGUAGCCGACCUGAGAGGGUGAUCGGCCACACUGGAACUGAGACACGGUCCAGACUCCUACGGGAGGCAGCAGGAGGGGAUCUUCCGCAAUGGGCGAAAGCCUGACGGAACAACGCCGCGUGAGUUAUAGAGGUCUUCGGAGCGGAAAACUCUGUUAGUAGGGAAAAACAAAUGUGUAAGUAACUAUGCGCGGCUUGACGGUACCUAAUCAGAAAGCCACGGCUAACUACGUG